CCCGGCAGCUGCUCGCGCCCCGGCGGGAGCCAGGGAGACGGUGGGGCGGGAAGCGCGGAGGAGAAGUCCGGGUGCCCUCGGGGAGCCUCAGCAGGGGGUCUCCGGAGAAGGGCUUAUGUGGCGAUGUCAUAAAAAGAUGUUGUAUACUGAAGGCAAUGAAAACAAGGGAGAAGGGUGGAGGAAUGGACCAUAAUGAGAACUACUUAGAAGAUGUGCAGAUCUGGAGUCCCCCUGAGGAUUACAAACUGAAUGCACGAGUAUUCAGAUUAGAGCUGAGUGGCAGGUGUGCUGGAGACCAGAGUGCUUCCUGAUCAUUUGG